GUGGUUUCAACUGCCUGGUGCAAUAAUAUAACAGGGGUGGACCCAGGAAUUGACGUUAGAGGGGACAUUACCCAUAACACUUAUGGGUGCAACCUAUUGACAUUCAUUCAUCUUCAAAAACGAAAGUGCUGUUAACUCUCUGUUUUGUUGCAAAAGGCGACCUUCUCAGUGAAACAGCGAACAUUCAUGGUGUAUUCAAGUCAUCAUGCUAUCAGCGAAUAAUAGGCCAGCUACAGAAAUUAUGAGAUUUCCCACACAGGACGAGACGGCAGCCAUGAAGAAUGGGUUUUAAGGCUGCAUUAAUGGCACACUGAUGGCAAUACAGGCCCCGUCUACCGCAAAGGAUACUAUGCGAUCGAUGUUGACAGGCCAUUGAGUCCAUCAAGAAAGCAAUCGUUGAUCAAUGCCCAGUCGAUGGAAUGGUACUAGACUAGAAGAGGGGACUGAAGAGGGCAGCCAAGCAACUUUUAUCCGCAAUCAAGCUCAACGGCUGCACGUCCAAUUGGGUCAGGCUGUUUCGGUGCAGAGUCUUGGACUUGCCACCCAAUAUACCUUCAACGAAAAGUUUAGAUUCAGCCCUUAACUCCACCGGAACAUAUUAGGCCAACAUUCAACAACAUAAGGGGGGUACAAAUCGCCAGUGGCAGUGAUUUUACUACUACACUUCCUUGUUCAACAUUGGCUUAUCUCCCCGUGCUGGACAUUCGAGGAACGGUGCGUUUGAGGUCAAGCUUCCCGAACCAGCUAUGGUGUUGAUGGUACUUUGGCCACUCUUCAUUGAUGUCAUUCUAUCCUAUA